AUUGAACGCUGGCGGCAGGCCUAACACAUGCAAGUCGAGCGGAUGAAGGGAGCUUGCUCCUGGAUUCAGCGGCGGACGGGUGAGUAAUGCCUAGGAAUCUGCCUGGUAGUGGGGGAUAACGUCCGGAAACGGGCGCUAAUACCGCAUACGUCCUGAGGGAGAAAGUGGGGGAUCUUCGGACCUCACGCUAUCAGAUGAGCCUAGGUCGGAUUAGCUAGUUGGUGGGGUAAAGGCCUACCAAGGCGACGAUCCGUAACUGGUCUGAGAGGAUGAUCAGUCACAGUGGAAAAGAGACGACGUCGAGAGUAAUACGGGAGGCAGCAGGGGGGAAUAGUGGACAAUGGGCGAAAGUGUGAUGGAGCGAUGGGGCGGGGGUGAAGAAGGUCUUUGAAUUGUAUAGUACUUUAAGUUGGGAAGAAGGGCAGUCAGCUAAUACCUUGCUGGUGGGACGGGACCAACAGAAGAAGAAACGGCAAACUUCGUG
rnacentral:rRNA from 1 species